AUAUAUAUAUAUAUAUAUAUAUGUGUGUGUGUGUGUGUGUGUGUGUAUAAUAUAUGUUUAUAUAUACAUAUACACACAUAUAUGUAUAUAAUGUAUAUA
rnacentral:miRNA from 1 species